UGAGUAUGUAGGUAUCACUAUAGUAUGAUGAGUUUAAUUCUGUAGAAUAAAUACUGAGGAGUGGUACAACUGGGUAGUGACUUCAUUCCUAGUGUACUGAGGAACCUCCAUAUUGAUUUCCACAGUGGUUGUACUAUUUACAAUCCCACCAGUAGUAUAAAAGUGUUGUUCUUUCUCCACAUUCUGUCCAGCAUUUAGUACUCAUGAUGGCUGUCAGUCAAAUUAUAGUGGGACAAAAUCUCAGUGUAGUUUUGAUUUGCAUUUCCAUAAUUUCUAAUAAUGCUUUCAUGUGUUUGUUGGCCAUUUGUAUUUUUUGAGAAGUUUAGUUCAUUUGCCCAUUUAAUAGUUGGAUUAUCAUUUUAUGAUAUUAAGUUUUUUGAAUUCUUUAUAUAUUCUGGAUAUUAAUCCUCUGACAGAGGAGUACCUAGCCAUGAUUUUCUUUCAUUCUGUAAAUUCUCUCUUCACACUCUGAACUAUUUUGUUGGUAUAGAAGAAGCUUUUUCAUCUGAUGCCAUCCCAUUUAUUAACUUUUGGCAUCAUUUUGUGAGCUUUAAGGAUCCUCUUGAGAAAGUCAUCACCUGUACCUGUAUGUUAGAGUGUUGAACCUCCUUUCUCUUCUAGGAGUUGCAUAAUUUCUGGCCUAAUGCCUACGACUUUAAUCCAUUUUGAGUUGACUUGUACAGGGUGAGAAAUAAAAAUCAUGCCUCAUUUUUUUCACAUAUGGACAGCCUGUUUUGCAGUACCAUUUGUUGAAAAGGCUGUUUUUCUCCAAUGUGUGUUUUAGCAACUUUAUGAAGGAUCAGAUGACUAUAAUCUG
rnacentral:lncRNA from 1 species